rnacentral:rRNA from 1 species
UACGGAGGGUGCGAGCGUUAAUCGGAAUUACUGGGCGUAAAGCGUACGUAGGCGGUUUGUUAAGUCGGAUGUGAAAUCCCUGGGCUCAACCUGGGACCUGCAUUCGAUACUGGCAGACUUGAAUACGGUAGAGGGGGUGGAAUUCCAGGUGUAGCGGUGAAAUGCGUAGAGAUCUGGAGGAACACCAGUGGCGAAGGCGGCCCCU